UGCAGCUGAACCUGCCGGUGAAGGUCCCACAUCCAGGACUGAGGCUCUGGGAGAUGCUGAGGGUGUGUCUGCAGGGAGGACUUCUCAAGCUCCAGGGUUGGAUGCUUGGCCCCAACCCAGCUCCCAUGGCAGGGGUCCUCCAAAAGGAAAGACCCAAGUUUUUGCAGCCAAAAAGUCUCAUGACUCAGAUGAAUUCCUGAGACAAACACAGAAGGAAGCACCUGGAGGACAAGUGAUGGAACAAAAGGCUGUUCAGGAGGAGGAACACUCAGGGAGAAGCAGUGGCUCAUUGGCAACCCCUGCUGCAGGAAGGAAGGCGAUGCCAGACACGGGCACAGGCACAGCAGAUGCAGCCAGCACCACAAGACCUGUUACCGAUGCCCAGGAUGGCCUCAGAUGGGGUUUCUGUCAGGGAACAGGCUGCUGGCUAGGGUUACUGGCAGGCAUCCUUUAUUUGGAGCUUGUCUUCAUGUUCUGCUGCUUUGGAAUCUGGUAUUCUUGGAACAGAGAACAGAGCACCUCGGGACAGGAGUUGGAAGACGGUGGCUGCACCUCACACCCAGACAGCGUGAGCAGCCCCUCCAGCAGCAGGAACGGCCUGGACAGCCCUCUCAAGUGUUCUGUGAAGAGGACCCCAGAACAACCGUCGACAAGGAAGCCUGUUAUUGCCCCGUAGAUCCCACUGUCACCUGCUCUCCCCAUGGGCCUCCCCAAGCUGCCUUCAUUCCUUUUUUUCUCAACGUCUGUCCCAUCCCAGCCAACCCGAGUUCCUCUAGGGACCCCAGGACCAGCCCAGCACCUUCCAGCACCUCCUCAGACCAACACAUCCCUUCCCCUGCCCCUGAGCCCCCUGGCCUUGCCCUCUAGG